GAGCCCAUAGCUCAGCGGUUAGAGCAUCGGACUCAUAAUCCGUCCUGAACGACUUGCACCAAAAUGCAGCGUAGCGCAAGAGGCCCUGUUUACAGUGGUUUCG
rnacentral:tRNA from 1 species